rnacentral:rRNA from 1 species
GACGAACGCUGGCGGCGUGCUUAACACAUGCAAGUCGAACGGAAAGGCCCUGCUUUUGUGGGGUUCUCGAGUGGCGAACGGGUGAGUAACACGUGAGUAACCUGCCCUUGACUUUGGGAUAACUUCAGGAAACUGGGGCUAAUACCGGAUAGGAGCUCCUGCUGCAUGGUGGGGGUUGGAAAGUUUCGGCGGUUGGGGAUGGACUCGCGGCUUAUCAGCUUGUUGGUGGGGUAGUGGCUUACCAAGGCUUUGACGGGUCGCCGGCCUGAGAGGGUGACCGGCCACAUUGGGACCGAGAUACGGCCCAGACUCCUACGGGAGGCAGCAGUGGGGAAUAUUGCACAAUGGGCGGAAGCCUGAUGCAGCAACGCCGCGUGCGGGAUGACGGCCUUCGGGUUGUAAACCGCUUUCGCCUGUGACGAAGCGUGAGUGACGGUAAUGGGUAAAGAAGCACCGGCUAACUACGUG